rnacentral:rRNA from 1 species
UACGGAGGAGGCAAGCGUUAUCCGGAAUUAUUGGGCGUAAAGCGUCCGCAGGUGGCACCUCAAGUCUGCUGUCAAAGACCGGGGCUUAACCCCAGAAAGGCAGUGGAAACUGAAGUGCUAGAGUGCAGUAGGGGUAGAGGGAAUUCCCGGUGUAGCGGUGAAAUGCGUAGAGAUCGGGAAGAACAUCGGUGGCGAAAGCGGCAUCCUGGACCAAUACUGACGCUGAGGAGCGAAAGCCAGGGGAGCAAACGGG